rnacentral:piRNA from 1 species
UGGGACAGAUUUGAGGUGACACUUUUCC